rnacentral:rRNA from 1 species
UACGAAGGGGGCUAGCGUUGUUCGGAAUUACUGGGCGUAAAGCGCACGUAGGCGGACAUUUAAGUCAGGGGUGAAACCCCGGGGCUCAACCCCGGAACUGCCUUUGAUACUGGGUGUCUAGAGUGUGGAAGAGGUGAGUGGAAUUCCGAGUGUAGAGGUGAAAUUCGUAGAUAUUCGGAGGAACACCAGUGGCGAAGGCGGCUCACUGGUCCAUUACUGACGCUGAGGUGCGAAAGCGUGGGGAGCAAACAGG